rnacentral:tRNA from 1 species
GAGGGUCUAGCUCAGUGGUAGAGCAUAUGCUUAGCAUGCAUAAGGUCCUGGGUUCAAUCCCCAGUACCGCCA